rnacentral:rRNA from 1 species
CAACCUGGGAACUGCAUUCGAAACUGGCAGGCUUGAGUCUUGUAGAGGGGGGUAGAAUUCCAGGUGUAGCGGUGAAAUGCGUAGAGAUCUGGAGGAAUACCGGUGGCGAAGGCGGCCCCCUGGACAAAGACUGACGCUCAGGUGCGAAAGCGUGGGGAGCAAACAGGAUUAGAUACCCUGGUAGUCCACGCCGUAAACGAUGUCUACUUGGAGGUUGUGCCCUUGAGGCGUGGCUUCCGGAGCUAACGCGUUAAGUAGACCGCCUGGGGAGUACGGCCGCAAGGUUAAAACUCAAAUGAAUUGACGGGGGCCCGCACAAGCGGUGGAGCAUGUGGUUUAAUUCGAUGCAACGCGAAGAACCUUACCUGGUCUUGACAUCCACAGAACUUUCCAGAGAUGGAUUGGUGCCUUCGGGAACUGUGAGACAGGUGCUGCAUGGCUGUCGUCAGCUCGUGUUGUGAAAUGUUGGGUUAAGUCCCGCAACGAGCGCAAC